GGUGCUGUACGCUUAACGGUAAAGUCGGUGUCAGCCCUUCGGGGAGCACGUAUGCAGGUUCAAUUCCUGCCAGCACCU
rnacentral:tRNA from 1 species